AUGGCUUGUCAAGGAGCAUUUUUCAGCAGGGAGUUUCUGAAAAAGAGCAAGAGAAACACCCAAAACAGAGCUAACCUCAAAAUGCUUCACCGAUCUGGCAGUAAACCCUUUAGACUGAUAAUUUGGGACAUGGGAGGAAAGGAAAACAAGCCACCGAGUAUGGAUAAACUAUUUUCAGAGACACACAAGAAGGGUACAGACUUCCCUGAUUCUACAACCUCCGCCAAACAUGCACAAAUUAAGACCAUAGUUCAGUUGAAUCCUGGUCUUUCAAAUGAUGAAGUCAUGCAGAAAUGUGACACAUCUAAGCGGCAUGAUUGCGUAGUUGGAUUUCGUGGUGGAAUUAGAGCAAGAGAUUUGCGAGGACCAGCAUUAAGUAAGGCUGAAUUAGUUUCUCAACUUCAAGCUUCUGAGCAAGCGAAACAAGUACUCGAAGAAAAGGUCAACGGGAUGGCGCAAGAAGUAUCAGAAAUUAAGCGUCUUCUAUCUGGUAGAUCUCUGACUGAUAGUUCUCAUGAACGCCAACAUGAUCAAGACUGA
rnacentral:rRNA from 1 species